UACACGGGGUGCAAACGUUGCUCGGAAUUAUUGGGCGUAAAGCGCGCGUAGGCGGUUACUCAAGUCGGAUGUGAAAGCCCUCGGCUUAACUGAGGAAGUGCACCCGAAACUGAGUAGCUAGAGUACUAAAGAGGGUCGCGGAAUUCCCGGUGUAGAGGUGAAAUUCGUAGAUAUCGGGAGGAACACCGGUGGCGAAGGCGGCGACCUGGGUAGAUACUGACGCUGAGGAGCGAAAGCGUGGGGAGCGAACAGG
rnacentral:rRNA from 1 species